rnacentral:rRNA from 1 species
CCUACGGGAGACAGCAGUGAGGAAUAUUGGUCAAUGGUCGGGAGACUGAACCAGCCAAGCCGCGUGAGGGAUGAAGGUACAGAGUAUCGUAAACCUCUUUUGUCAGGGAACAAAGGCGGGGACGUGUCCCCGGCUGAGUGUACCUGAAGAAAAAGCAUCGGCUAACUCCGUGCCAGCAGCCGCGGUAAUACGGAGGAUGCGAUCGUUAUCCGGAUUUAUUGGGUUUAACGGGUGCGCAGGCGGUCUGUUAAGUCAGCGGUCAAAGCCCGGGGCUCAACCCCGGCCCGCCGUUGAAACUGGCAGUCUCGAGUUGGAGAGAAGUAUGCGGAAUGCGCGGUGUAGCGGUGAAAUGCAUAGAUAUCGCGCAGAACUCCGAUUGCGAAGGCAGCAUGCCGGCUCCACACUGACGCUGAGGCACGAAAGCGUGGGUAUCGAACAGGAUUAGAUACCCGUGUAGUC